UUUCUCGCCAUUCUUAUUUCAUUAAUUCUAACAGUAGUACGAUGCUGAAAAUGUGCACUAUUUUCAUGUUCAUUUUGUUAAUAUUAGUAAUAGAUGCACGUGUAAUAAAUAAUUCGUACGAUUCUUAUCGAUCGAUCUACGACGAUAUACAAGGACAAGAAAGUACGAAUGUUAGCGAAGAAACAAAUGGCUCACUUGGUCGAUUUGAGGUAAAUUCAGAUGGUGCAGAUGAGGUAGUGGAGUGGGCCAUGCCCUUUCUUAGAAUCAAUACAGCGGCGCUUAAGGCACUUUCUGGUGGAGGUCUUGGCAAAUGAUCACUGUUGUACUGACUUUGUUAAUCAGACAAUAAUAUACUAUACCUGCAGUUA